GAUCAGGGUUUCCAAUCUCGGCGGAAUUUCAUGGAUUUUGGUGAUGGCCGAAAGAAAAUUCCAAUUUUUUCUAUCACACUAAUACAUCUGCUAUAUAAUCAUAUAUGCUUUUGUUUUUAUUAUUAUUUAUGUUACACAUAUUCUUCUACUUAAUAUAUUUAUAAUCAUAAAUCAUAGUAAUAUUCUAUUUAGAUUUGAAAAUUUUAGAAAAAACAUACUUUAGGUUUAAGUCUCUAAGAAAUUUCGGUGAAAUUUCGGCCAAAAUUAAUGGAAUUCGGUAUUGAAAAACAUGUCUGCCACAUCGGAGUAUAUAUAUACUCCUAUAUUAUAUAUAGGCGA
rnacentral:lncRNA from 7 species